rnacentral:rRNA from 1 species
AAAGGUGAAACCUAAUUGGCCUGGAGAAGAGCUUGCGUCUGAUUAGCUAGUUGGUGGGGUAAGAGCCUACCAAGGCGACGAUCAGUAGCUGGUCUGAGAGGAUGAGCAGCCACACUGGGACUGAGACACGGCCCAGACUCCUACGGGAGGCAGCAGUGGGGAAUUUUCCGCAAUGGGCGAAAGCCUGACGGAGCAACGCCGCGUGAGGGAGGAAGGUCUUUGGAUUGUAAACCUCUUUUCUCAAGGAAGAAGUUCUGACGGUACUUGAGGAAUCAGCCUCGGCUAACUCCGUGCCAGCAGCCGCGGUAAUACGGGGGAGGCAAGCGUUAUCCGGAAUUAUUGGGCGUAAAGCGUCCGCAGGUGGUCAGCCAAGUCUGCC